UACAGAGGUCCCAAGCGUUGUUCGGAUUCACUGGGCGUAAAGGGUGCGUAGGUGGCAGGGUAAGUUUGAUGUGAAAUCUCCGAGCUUAACUCGGAAACUGCAUUGAAUACUAUCCUGCUUGAGGGUUGGAGGGGAGACUGGAAUUCUCGGUGUAGCAGUGAAAUGCGUAGAUAUCUGGAAGAACACCAGUGGCGAAGGCGGUCAACUGGCCCAUAACUGACGCUGAGGCACGAAAGCGUGGGUAGCAAACAGG
rnacentral:rRNA from 1 species